GGUUGUAUAGUGUAGCGGUCAUCACACCAGAUUCUGACUGAUUCAUCUCAGGUCAACCUUCUGGUAACCCCGGUUCGAUUCCGGGUACGACCU